UUUUUUUUGGAUGCUUCUGGAGUUCUGGAUUGUUAUUUAUGCAUGAGCGGGCUGCAGCACUUCUAGCCUUGUUUGCCUUCUCUAGCUCGUGUAGGUCUCUUAUUGUUGCUGCUAUCAAGUGCUCGAUUGGAUAUUGCUUACUUCAUGUCUGCUUUUUGUCGAUUGCUGGCUUGGAGAGUUGUAUGAAAAAUAAAUAAAAAAGUACAAGAUGAUAAUAAUGUUGUCUGAGUUGUAUCACUUAUGGGCAUGCAAAUAAUUGCAUCAUGUUGCACCUUGCUAUUUUCCAUUGUAGACCGAAGAUCCUGUUGGAAAUCCAGGUUGGGCAUGACUGAGCCAAGGAUCAGUGAACUUCAUAUGAUAAAGAAGCGGAAAAUUCUACGAGAUAUGACAUGCCCAGAAUUCUGCAGUGGUGCUGGAAAGAAAUGAAGAUCUCAGAAUUGCUUACAUUGAUGUUGUCGAGAGCAUUAGGAAUGGAAAGCCUAGCACUGAGUAUUACUUGAAGCUUGUUAAAUAUGACAUACAUGGAAAGGACAAGGUCAAAUAUUUGUGGGUGAUUACAGUUAGCAAGGGCUUCACCAAUCUGAGAGCGGCAAACAUGCAAAGAUACACCCCGUAGGUAGGAGGAAGUAAAACUACUUGUCUUCAAUCAGAAUGAGGUUCGCAGGGUACGUGCAAGACCCGCUCUUCCCCGAGAACAUACCAGGACUGCCAUCGCAAGUUGGUGUCCCU